rnacentral:rRNA from 1 species
UGAGGAAUAUUGGUCAAUGGGCGAGAGCCUGAACCAGCCACGUCGCGUGAAGGAAGACUGACCUUACGGUUUGUAAACUUCUUUUGUAGAGGGGUAAUGGCAGAUACGUGUAUUUGCGUGAAAGUACUCUACGAAUAAGCAUCGGCUAACUCCGUGCCAGCAGCCGCGGUAAUACGGGGGAUGCGAGCGUUAUCCGGAAUUAGUGGGUUUAAAGGGUGCGCAGGUGGCUAAUCAGGUCAGUGGUGAAAAGCUAUGGCUCAACCAUGGUCUUGCCAUUGAAACCGUAUAGCUAGAGAGGAGACGAGGUAGGCGGAAUGUGUGGUGUAGCGGUGAAAUGCAUAGAUAUCACACAGAACUCCGAUUGCGAAGGCAGCUUACCAGGCUUUAUCUGACACUUAGGCACGACAGCGUGGGGAUCAAACAGG